rnacentral:lncRNA from 10 species
AGCUUCAAAGGGAUUUGAAGGGUGGUGACAGGCUCCAGCCCAGACUGCGCCUCGGAAUGCAGACGCUUCUCUGCCUAGAACCUGGCCCGGCCCUAUGGGAAAGCCCCGGUUCUCGGCGGCACUGAACUGGUAAAAAGCAGUUGCUGUGGGUUCCCUCCCUUUCUCCCCGACUCCCUGGCCAUGGGAUUCAGGAAAACAGGCAGUGAAAGGCUUCAACAGUUCCUUUCCAGUUUUCCACGGGGGCCCCAAGGAACGCCUGCGGCUGGAAUUCCCCGGGAGACAGGGAGCUGUAACAAUAGAGGUUCAUAUUCUAAAGAGAGCAGGCACUGAGCAAAUGUUUGUUGAACUGAACCAAUCUGCUAGUUAUGGGGACAUGACCUCCACUUCAUGGUGUUGAACUAAACAAACACAUACUUCUCCAGACAAAUAUUAAAACUGGUGAACUUCAAAAUAACGUGAAAAGCUCCUAUGUUUCCAUGCCUCAUUAUAUGCCACAAAAAAUCAAAUGAUAACGAGAACAAAGUAGGUUAUUUUGUUUGCUAUUUAACUUGUGUGCAGGUCUUCACAGAAUGAGAGGCAUACCAACACUCAUGACCCCAGGCUAGUUCUGUUCUUUGCCAGUGUGUGGUUUGGGAGUUCUGUGAAGUGUUUGCAGUCGCUACUAAUAAUCCAGGUGACACGGCAAACAUUGCAGUUCCUAGGUCCAGCACAAUUAGAGGAGGGUUCACUCGUAGGCAGCAUCUGAGCAACAGGCUCACCAGACUUCAGCCUCUUCACUCCGACUCUUCCACGCUCCAGCUCUCUUCAUUAAGAUAUUCUAGAAGCAACUGAGGAGUUUCUACAAACAUUUUGGAAAUUACAGCAGGUCAAGUGGAAGUUUGUUUUCAUUUCAGUUAAGGUACGAGUUGUUCUGACUGCUGUGCAGACAUUCACACGCCCGCUGCUAGAAAGCUGGAGCUGGAAGGAGCAUUGGGGCCCGCUGAGUCCUCCUUUCUCAUGUAUGGAUGCGGAUGUGGAGGCAGGCCCUAAGUCUUAGUGUAGGUGCCGAUGGUGCAGGUGAGAAGCCCCCUGGUAACUCACUUAGUGCUCUAUCUGCUCUUCCACACUCUCCAACAUGACGUCACCGGUUUAUAAGUGAGAAGCAGGUCACAGGUCCCUAAGGUUUCUGCGAGGGAGGCAAGCGUUGCGCAGUGGUUCAGAACACCUGCUGCACGGGUUCAUCCCGUGCACCUUCUCUCACCUAAGUUUCUGUUUCUAUAUCUGUAGGUUGGGAAUAAUGCUGUGGCUGUGUAAGGCCACAACACACAGUGCUUAGCACAUUGUGAGCACUCAACGUAGAAACAGAUCUUAUUUGCUCUAGGUCUGACAGGCCUAGAGCUUGUCAUCCAAGCAGGAGACCCACAUGGCCUGCAGCACAUUUAGGGCCAUCUCUAUGUCAAUAGCAUCCAAUGGCUUUAGGUGGGGCCUGGACUGGAGCCUCCAUGUUGGGGGUGCAGGCAGGGGGCAUGUUCUCUCACUCCCCUCGGCAUUGGAGACAGGUGCCACUUUGCAGGCUCAGGGGGUGUGACACAGGAUCUGGAUGCUAGGGAGACCACAGCCGAUGGGGAAAGACCACACAGUGUAAAUGGGUGGAAGUGGGGGAUAUACUGGGGGGGUGGCCACUGGAUGAGCCACCCUGGGAGAUUGGUUCCUCAGAAGGGUAUCUCUCAGUCUGACCCUAUACACUGAAAAAGCAAGUCCAUCAAAAGCUUCUACUAUUAGAGCUUCUUAACUAAAUCCCUAGUAAACCUCUUUACUUCAUUUGGUAAAUUCAAAAUUAAUGGCAUAAUACUUCCACAAAAAUAUACCAUGAAAUCAUUUUCCUUCUUCUUUUUGGCCAGAGUUUACACGUUUUAAAUUUUAAACUCAGAUUCCGAGUAAACAAAGUGGUUGUUUAAAUUACUUGUCAUCGACUCCACAGCAAUAGGUGUUUAGUUUCUGUUUAUAUUUAUUUUACUUAGUAUCUUAGAACCAUUUAAUAGCAACAUAACAGAGCAAAAACAGCACCCUUAGAAACUUGUAUACACAAUCAAGACCUGGGCAUUACCAUGGUUGAAGGAUUCCUUCAGUACAAGGAAAUACUAGAGAAGUUUGGCAGGCAUGACUUAACUGGCCAAGUCAUAGAGAAAGUGAACAUCACAGAUGGUCAGCUUGUAAAAAAGUGAGAUGUGGCUUUUCAGAUGAUUAACUGGCAGAAAUGUGCAAACUUUUGCCGUUGGAUUCUUUUACACUAGGUUGACUCACUUAAAGAAGAAUUUGAAUCAUUAUCUAACAGAAAAAGAUCAAUAACAAGCAUUAUUGCUGGAACAUUCUAUGGAUAGACUGCUUUCUAUACAUGAUUGGUGAAUAUUGUAUUUCAAUUAAUUAUAUAUCCUGAUAAUAUAUGAAUUAAUACUGUGAUAUCCUGCAUACAAUAACAAUAAUCAAUGGAAAUAUAGUAAAACAGAAAUGAAAAUAAUUUUGCUUUUCCUUGAGAAGGUAUUUCAAAUUUUUGUAGUAUUUCAGGGACAUUAACAUAAAUGCCACUUAUCACAACAAAGUACCUUAGCUACAGAAGGUAUAUGAAAUUGACUGUCAAAUGAAUGGAUGGUCCUCAAACUUGUCUAGAGAAAUAUGAGAUCCUGACAGUUAAAAUUAAGUAAUUUAAAGUGAAUCAACCUUUAAAAACUCAGCAGCUUUGCUAUUACUCAAAUGAUAAAAACUCCGAAUUUAAAAUUUCAUGUCAUAGCUAUGCUCACAUGUAAAACUAGUGAAUAUGAAUAUGGGAGCAACAUUUUUCAUUAAAAAAGGAAAGACUGAUCAAUUAUUGCUUUUAUUAAAUUGC